CAGAAGCCAUGCAGCCAGAUGCAAAAGAGAGCUACAAAUAGAGCAGCUGGUGGAUGAAGACCCAGAUGCAGACAAAGAGAAAGCAGACAGUGACAGAAAUAGGAAUAUGGAGAAUCCGAAGGAGAAGAAGCAAAAUUGCUCUCAGGAAGAGAAGACUACAUGAAGCUGCGUUGUCUAAGGUGAAAAGUCAAGACUCUCAGUUGGAUUUGAACAGAGGAGAAAAUGUUAAGAUGUGUUAAGCACUCGACUUUGAAGAGCAGCGGAGUUCAUCCCAGUGUCCUGACGAUAUUUAUCCCUCAACCACAGAGUCACUCAAACAGACUAUUCAUUGUUGUUUGUUCACAAGUUGGCUGCUGCAUUUCCCUGCAUCACAACAGUGACGACGCUUCUAGCUGCCGAUUUGCUCACUUUGGGAUGUCCUGUGAUUGUGCAAGAAGCUAUUUACAUGUAAAGCUUUUUCAUACUCUUUUUAAUUUUGUUGACGAACAUUUUGAAAAAUACAUAUUACAUUUAUUACUUAAGGAAAAUUUCCCAGCAAACAUACUCUAAUUCUGACACACUGCAUCAUUUAAGCCAAUUGCAAUCUGUGGAAGUAGACAUCCAUUAUGUACAACGAUGGCAGUUACAUUCCAUUAAGAUAUAUUUCUGAAAAUUGCCUUGAGAUCAGGGAUGUUACAAUGAGAUUACAAGGGAAAAUCUAGCUGUUGUUCAACAGCACUAGGAAAUAUACAACGAAUAGCUAUGAAUCCCUGGAAGUUAGUAGUAAAGAAAUAAUUUAAUCAAAGGAUUUACAGGAAGAACAUAAGCCAUGAGAGUGAAGUUCAAGCAGUGCAUGUUCAUUAUAUGAUCACUGAGUUUAUGUUGCUGUAAAUUCCCUUACAUCUGUUAUUAGUUAUUAUCUAUGCCAGGUUGUGUAUUUUCAUAUUUUCUUAUAAAAUAUAUUUUUGCGCUACUGAGAUCCAUUUCUUUGAUUUGUGGAUUUUCGGAUGUUGUUAAAUUUGAAAGUAAUGUCAUGUGACAUAUGACAAAGAACAUUACCAUUCCUCUGUUGUGUGAUCUGUAGGUAUGUUGGAUGAUGUGACAGGAGCUGUAGCAUUGCCAACUUCCCUUUCUAAGCAGAUUACAGCAUAUUUACUACCUCUUGUGUAUUUUAUCCUGGCACGUCCCAUUGGAAUCCUUGGGGUUAUGAUGUUUCUGUUCUCUGCCUGAAGACACUGCCUGAUUAUGGUCAGAUUUAUUUCCAUGAACCAGAUAAACUAUGAAAAUUACAAAUGCGAAUAUGGUGUUCAGCACCUUGAUUGCUGGAGAUUGGCUAAGACAGGGAACCCCCACUUUGAGGAAUGGUGUGCCAGCGUUCAACCCAUUCAUCAUACAGUAGGCAAGAUUUUGCAGCAGGGUGAUAAUUGCUGCUGUCAUCAUUGAGGCAGGUGGGGAACCGAAAACUUGGUGCUGUGCAAUACUAGUCCAUUUCCUUUGGAAUCCCAUUGUGUGUAAUUUUAUGUAGCCUGAGAUUAAUGGCACCAACAAUGUUUCAAUACCUAAAUAAAGACUUAA